rnacentral:misc_RNA from 1 species
GCAAAAUAAAAAAGAAAAGAAGCAAAAAGAUAGAAGAAAACCGAAGCAAUUCUGCGUGUUAUGUGUUAUUGUUGUGAUCAGUGAUCAGUGAUCAAGUGAAAGUGAACACAAGAACGAGAGAGAAAGCCCAGUGAAUCAGUUCCCAUCGUAAAGGAUAGAAAUCAGAGACAAUGUCGGACAUUGAGGAUGUUUUCGAUGGCUCCGCCGAGGAGACCAAGCCCGAACCCGAUGCCCAGAGCAAAACCAGCGUGGUCACCGAGCACACCGAGGAGGUGAUUCCCGGCGAGACCGAGAAGAUGGUCACGGAGACCAUCGACGAGGACGGCGAUGUCGUGGAGGAGACCACCGAGGUUACCCGCAAAACGGUGAAGCGCACCAUGAAGAUCACCGAGACUUCUGCCACCACAAAGACAACCACGCUCACCACCCCCGCCAAACUGUAUGGCAAGGAUCUGAGUGAGUACGACGAUGUGGACGUGGAGAGCCUGCUGGCCCAGCUCUCGCCCGAGGAGAUAACCAUACUGGCCAAAGAGGUGGAUCCCGAUGACAACUUCCUGCCGCCAGACCAGCGCAACAGCUAUGAGUGCACCAAGGAAGCCACCGGGCCCCUCAAUCGCAAGCAGCUGAUCGAGCACAUCAACAAGCAGGCCAUCGAGACACCGGAUCAGCCGGAAUUCGAGCCGUUCGUUCAGGGCAAGGUUCGCGGAAAGAAGUGGGUCCCUCCGCCAAGGGAUGCCCGCGACAUCGAGGCCGAGGAACAGAUCGCCAUCGACAUGGGCGAGGAGUACGAGCACGCCCUCAACGAUGCCACGCAGGAGGAGAUCAUUGAUUUGGCCGCCAUCCUGGGCUUCCACUCGAUGAUGAAUCAGGACCAGUACCACGCCUCCUUGCUCAACAAGGGUCAGCCCGUGGGCCUGGGCUGGGAUGGCAUCACGAAAUCCACUCAGCAGAAGCUCUUCCCCAUGGAUCCGCCCAAUAGCACAGACGUGGAGGAGUCCAUCAAGCGGGUCAAGGACGAUGACUCCAAGCUGAUUGACCUCAACUUGAACAACAUUAAGAACAUCUCGGACGAGAAGCUCGAGCAACUGUUUGCCGCACUGCCUCAGAACGAACAUCUGGAAGUCCUCUCGCUGACAAAUGUGGGCCUCACCGACAAGACAGCCCUCCUGUUAGCCGCGGCCAUUGAGAAGAGCAAAACCCUGAGAGUAUUAAAUGUCGAGACCAACUUCAUCAGUCCGCCCGUGAUUGUUAAGCUGGUGCAAGCCCUGCUCAAGUGCCACACCAUCGAGGAGUUCAGGGCCUCCAAUCAGCGGUCUGCGGUGCUGGGCAACAAGAUCGAGAUGGAAAUCACCGACCUGGUGGAGAAGAACUCGUCGCUGCUGCGCCUUGGCUUGCACCUGGAGUUCAACGACGCCCGCCACCGAGUGGCCGCUCACCUGCAGCGCAACAUCGACAGAAUCUUCCGCGUUCAGAAAAUAAAGCCCAAUCUACCCAAGUUGAUCCUGCCGGGCAACAUGGAGAUUGAGCGGGAUCUGGUCGCCUAUAACCGAUCGGCCACGCCUUCUCCGUCGCCAUCGCCGCAGCCUCCGGCGGAUUAUGAAGUGGAAGAGGAUCCGGAUAACAUGGUUAUCCGCGGUGGCGGCGAUGCCUUCGAUCCGGAGAUCGAUCCCGACAACAUGGUGGUGCCGGGCAGUCGGUCCGUGACACCGAACUACGACGAUGAGGGUGUCUAUCAAGCGCACACUAAGAAAAGAUCUUGAGUUGCGACUGCAGUUCAGAUUUUUCAAUAAUCUGCAUAGAAAGUCGACAAGAAUUCAAUAAGCAGACCAGAAACCAAGCAACUAAACCAUUUUCAAAGCGUUUUGUAAUCUAAACCCAAAGAACCGAAGAAAAACAAGCACAUAACAACGAAAGAACGUGUAUAAUAUAAUAUAUAUAUAUAACAAGAAGAAGGAAGCAGGAGCACAAGUUUAAGCUAAAGAUAAAGCGGCCAACGAGCUUGCCAAAAAAUCUAUAUCUAUAUACUCUAGAGACUUUAACUAAGCAAAGCAAACUGAAACCAAAGAAACGAAGCGAAAUAUCAAACUAAAUACAUAUACCACAUAUAUCGAUAAAGAUCGCAGAUCGAGCAGACUCGUGAUCCAUGGAUAUAGCAUAAUACCCAUGAGCCACGAGUUAUCUUUUAAGUCGAGGCCUCUUCUAAAACUCAGCAGAAACCGUUUAGGCGCCACGUGUAUAAUUUUCUCUAACGCUUAACACAGUACGUGUGAAACGCCUGAACCAGCGUAAAUAAAAAGACAAAUACGAAAUAUGUAGCAGCAACCAACCAACAACAACAACAUGCCACCACCCAAGAACAACAAUCAAGCAGAAAGCCAUCUCUAUAUGUGUGUGUGUGUUUCUUUGUCCGACUCUUGAUUUGAUAAUUACCAAUUAACAAGCAAAACCACCCAGCAAGAAACCAAGAAAUCACAACCAAACCAACAACACCUCCAGCAAACCAGAACAACAGCAACACGGCAAUGAGCAACCACGGCAACCAGAACAACAGAUCUAUGUCUAUGUCCAAAUCUCCCCCACCAACCAACCAACCAAUCGACCUCUGUACUCCCCGAAAACCCAACCAACCAACCAACCAGCUGUGAACUAACACCGAAGAAUGAUGUGCGACAUGAAUUGGACGUCAGCGUCGCAUGGGACAUCUGACCAGGAACUACACCGUUGGCGUCUGGCAGUAGGAUUCAUCCGAUUGGGACGUGCGGAGGAGUCUUCACAUUUUACACCGAAAGAAAUCAAUAGCCUAACAAUAGUGUUGUCACAUGCUUGUUGUUGCUCUCACGCAGAGAAUUGUUCUAUAUUGUUUUGUUCAGUGUUUGUUGCGUUCUUCAGUUUGAUGAUUGAUGAAUUCGGUUCGAGUUUGUGUUCGGAUCACCACCUAAGCAUAAUCAAUUGUUUGUUACGAGUUAGGCGAAUGUUCAUUGUCACACACGCAGAUCCAGGAUUAGCUUUCUAUCUGGCAGCUCUAAAGUAGUUAUUUCCUUAAGCAAAUCUUAACAUUUACGCUGCAGCUAUACACACACGUUUAUUUUAUUUUAUUUACCUACCAUUCUGUCCUUUGAUUAUUUGUAGCCCCUAGACGGGGCGAUAUUUCACAAUUUUUAGUUUUAGUCGUGUUUAUAUCCACACAUGCACACAUGAUACAAACACAUACACAUAACAUACAUAAUACCUACACACUAUAUAUAUAUGAUACAUAUAUAGCCAUGGUCUCUGAAAACAAUUUACUGCUAUUGAAUUAUGAAAUGCUUAAACAUAAAUUUAACUUAUGGUUAAACACACAAAACAAAUGAAAAACAUACAAUUGUAUAAUGUAAUGAUAUCUUACUUUAUAUGACAUAAUGCAAUGCUUUUAAAA